GGAGCUGGCUCCGCCUACGCCUGUAGCAGGACCGCAGGAAGCUCCUGAGCAUUCCAGAUCAAGAGGGUUAUUGCUCUCCCUUAGCUACGCAACGCCACGAACAACAAGAAGCGUGAAAAAAUAAGCAAAGGCUCGAAGAAGAUCUGGGGGAAAAGAGAUUUUCAAACGAUGAGGACUUCACACAGCGGUUAUCGAAAGGGAGAAGUUUCACCGUCGAGGAACUAAACGACUGGCAGCACGUUCCGAUGGUUUGUUUAUAGAGACUUGCCGUGGCCGGUUCAAGCAGUGGGGCACCUGCAGCUCUCAGACGCCUUUAACUGAAUGUGCCACACGUGGAUUGUGCAAUGGUGAGGCAAGGUAGUUGUCCGACAGAGUCAGCAGCUGACGGUGUGCUGCGUCGCAGUCGAAUGCUACGGCCCUGUCUCGGCAGUUCUUUUACGCCGAGUUCGGUGCCCCCUUGCACUAAAAUGUUCUUGUGUUCGCCGAACUCUGGCAGCCAACGCCGUUGCUACACUCUGUUCAUCAUAAAUAGACCUCAGACUUUAGGUAGAAACUUAUUUUGAUUCUCACUGAAUGAAGGCAAUAAAAGUUGUACAUACACGAAUUACGCCAAUUUGUGAUCGAAAAUGCUAGUUUUAUAG